rnacentral:tRNA from 1 species
GCGUGGUGUCGUUUGGUACAGGCGAUAUUACCUAAACCAUUGGAUCUAGACGCGCUUUCAUCAGACUACGAAUCUGAGGGUCGGACGUUCGAAUCGUUCCGGGCGCG